AACAGAUUCUGUGGCGCAGUAGCUACUCGGCACCGGACCUGCAAGCAACCAUCUUCCGUGUGUCAGACUACAGCCACAGCUACAGUUGCGGGAAUCGAACCUUCGCACUACCAAAUCUGUUUUCUGAGGGAAUAACUCGACUGCAGGUGCGAGAUAGUGUCCUUGUGUUUUUCGAAGACUGUUUGGCAUUAAGGCUCGUCGCAAACAGUAAAGUGGAAUAUCAAGACCGACGCAUCUUCUCAUGCGCAACAGGUGCUCUCAUGGGAAAUCUGGUGAUAUGUCCUUGUUGGUGGCGAGCGCCAAGUGUCACACCUAGCCACAUGAGCGACAUCAGCCUGAGCAGUGGUUGCCCAAUGGAGUGGCCAUUCAGUGAGGGCGAGGAGCACGAUGAGGAAGAAGAGACUUGGUCUUGGCAGACCAAGAUAGGAGGUGACAGUAGGUCUCCACCGAGAGCUGACACCUGGAGGUGGCAUCUGGAGCAGAGGCUGGUGGCAGAGGAACAGAGAAUGAUGAGCAGCAACAACAAGCUGACCACUUCCAACUGACUCUGAUCUUGCAGUAACAUCUCAUGAAAUGGCACUUGAUCACUCUACUCUAUGCAGAGUCCAUCAGACUAGAAGGCCAACAUAACAGCAUAUCUUUACUGAGCCUAUGUAAUGUGGAAUCUGUUUUUAUCAAAUAUAUGAAAUUAUGUGAGUCUU